rnacentral:lncRNA from 1 species
UCAUUACUGAGGAGCAGAAGGGGACAGGACGAGAUACAACUGUGGCUUUCCCUUUGUGGAUAUACUGGCAACGAACGCAUCUUCAUAUUCCAGACACAUCUCGACUGUGACCCAUUCUCAGAAGUUUUGCUUUUGUGGCUGUGGAACGUUUCGUGCAGUGGCUCCUCGAGCACCCACAGACGAGAUAUCCCUGGAGCAUUUUAGUCGGCAGCAGGGAUGGGUAUCUUCGGAGAGAAGAGAAAUAUUUAGCGGUUCU